rnacentral:tRNA from 1 species
GCCGACAUAGCUUAGUGGUAAAGCAAGUCAUUGGUAAUGACUAGACAUGAGUUCGAUUCUCAUUGUCGGCU